GAGCCCCUGCUACGUGCGUGAUGGCAACCCUUAUUUGAGCCGAUAUUCUAUUUGUCGGGCGUCCGGGUCGGUCGGCGGUGUGCGAGCUUUUCCUUCGGGAACUUGUUUGCCUGAAGUCGGUCGCAGGGGGUCCACCUUGGCAACAAGGUUCAAAUAGAUCAGCCACACGGCGGUGCGGGGGUAUC
rnacentral:other from 1 species